rnacentral:rRNA from 1 species
AUUGAACGCUGGCGGCAGGCCUAACACAUGCAAGUCGAGCGAGCGGCGGACGGGUGAGUAAUGUCUAGGAAACUGCCUGAAGGCGGGGGAUAACUACUGGAAACGGUAGCUAAUACCGCAUAACAUCCGCUGUCCCCAGAUGGGAUUAGCUAGUAGGUGGGGUAAUGGCUCACCUAGGCGACGAUCCCUAGCUGAUCUGAGAGGAUGACCAGCCACACUGGAACUGAGACACGGUCCAGACGCCUACGGGAGGCAGCAGUGGGGAAUAUGGCGCAAUGGGCGAAAGCCUGAUGCAGCCAUGCCGCGUGUAUGAAGAAGGCCUUCGGUUUGUAAAGUACUGUCAGCGGGGAGGCGUUACUUGAAGAAGAAGCACCGGCUAACUCCGUGCCAGCAGCCGCGGUAAUAC